AACGAACGCUGGCGGCAUGCCUAACACAUGCAAGUCGAACGAGACCUUCGGGUCUAGUGGCGCACGGGUGCGUAACGCGUGGGAACCUGCCCUUAGGUUCGGAAGAACUCCCCGAAAGGGGUGCUAAUACCGGAUAAUGUCUCCGGACCAAAGAUUUAUCGCCGUUGGAUGGGCCCGCGUUGGAUUAGCUAGUUGGUAGGGUAAAAGCCUACCAAGGCGACGAUCCAUAGCUGGUCUGAGAGGAUGAGCAGCCACACUGGGACUGAGACACGGUCCAGACUACUACGGGAGGCAGCAGUGGGGAAUAUUGGACAGUGGGCUAAAGCCUGAUCCAGCAAUGCCGCGUAAGUGAUGAAGGCCUUAGGGUUGGAAAGCUCUUUUACCCGGGAUGAUAAUGACAUUACCGGGAGAAUAAGCUCCGGCUAACUCCGUG
rnacentral:rRNA from 1 species